rnacentral:rRNA from 1 species
GAUGAACGCUGGCGGCGUGCCUAAUACAUGCAAGUCGAGCGAAGCGGGGACGGGUGAGUAACACGUGGAUAACCCCCUAUAUGACUGGGAUAACUUCGGGGAACCGGAGCUAAAACGGAUACUUAUCGCAGGAUCCGCGCUGCAUUAGCUAGGUGGUAAGGUAACGGCUUACCAAGGCCACGAUGCAUAGCCGACCUGAGAGGUUGAUCGGCCACACUGGAACUGAGACACGGUCCAGACUCCUACGGGAGGCAGCAGUAGGGAAUCUUCCGCAAUGGGCGAAAGCCUGACGGAGCAACGCCGCGUGAGUGAUGAAGGUCUUCGGAUCGUAAAGCUCUUUUAGUAGGGAAGCGGUACCUAAUCAGAAAGCCACGGCUAACUACGUGCCAGCAGCCGCGGUAAUAC